ACAACGACUCUCGGCAACGGAUAUCUCGGCUCUCGCAUCGAUGAAGAACGUAGCGAAAUGCGAUACUUGGUGUGAAUUGCAGAAUCCCGUGAACCAUCGAGUCUUUGAACGCAAGUUGCGCCCGAUGCCAUCAGGUUGAGGGCACGUCUGCCUGGGCGUCACG
rnacentral:rRNA from 1 species